rnacentral:piRNA from 1 species
CCUCUUGCAAGAGGAGAGCUACCGGAG